CCUUGAUCAUGUCUAUGUGAAGUUUACAGGCCCUUCCAAACAACUGUUAUUGUUUAUUAACGUGUUUAAUAGGCCCAACUGCAAGGUUUUGAAAGAGAUCAUGGCAAUAUUGUGUGACAUAACCCUUAUGAACUUGAUGAAAUACGGCUUCUGAACGAGUAGAGGGUUGAUGCUUAUUUUUUUGGUAAAAUAUUUGCUGUUACAUAGCUGGAAAUUUGAUCCUUUCAACAAGGGGGGAAAAAUCAAUUUCACUUUCAGCUGAACAAACUCGUGGAUGCAUAGCUUUUCGAAUGAAAGUCGACUGGUGAUUGUUUAAAUGUCAAAGCAUGAUGUUUAUUUAUGCACUUAUGAGCAUGCGAAAUUGAGGCUGGCAAAUUUUGAAUCCUUUUUUCAUUAUAGUGGGUGUGUGACUCUGCUAUGAAUCAUUUCAUUUUUGAGAACAGGUAAGAAAAUUUGAAAGGCAAGACUAGACAGUAGGCACUUUUACUGCUGGAUCCUCUAAAAUUAGGUGCCCGAGGUGGGUAUUAAAAACUUGAUCUUUAUAGACGUGGAUAAUCACGAAGUGGGCACAUUUGAUUGAUGUAAAGCAAUGAGAAAGUGUAAGAACCAGCUUAGGUUGAUAUGCUAGUUGUUAUCAGCAGCUUAAACCGUGAGUUUCUUUACAGAUGUUAUGGCAAUGAUUUUGCUGUCUAAGCUGAGAUUACCGAACUGCAGUCAGAAAGCUACUGUCUUGAUAGUGCUUCCUAUAGUAAAGUUCGCUAUUUGUUGCUCAGUUCUGAUUGCCAAUCGGUUUUCAAUAGGUGAAGCCAAGUGAAGUCAUAGUGUUACUGUUUUUGCUGCUCUUAAUUUUGCGAACUUGAGGUAGACAGUGUAGAGUUUGGUGUAAUUGGUUGCUUGAUUCUCAUAAAGUUGAAUGGCUAUUAACGAAUAGUGGAAUACCCAUUGUGUGUUUGGUUUUAGUUACACAUUAUUGUCAAUGUUUAGGUAUCUUCGGCAAAAUUUGGCACUGGUAGCAUCUGGUUUCAGCUGACUGUGUCCCUGAUAUUUUCAUGGCUGCUGGAGUUUUUUGCCAGAUUGAUGUGCAUACCGUCACAAAAAAUUCUCCUUCCACUGGUGUUUCCUUUACACAUACUGUGCCUCAUGGGGCUGAAAUCUCACGUUUCGGUGGUAGUCCUGCUUCACUAGAUGGUUAUCCGGAAUCUUCAAUCAACAAGCCAGCAGAUUGCAAUUCCCUUAAAGAUGUACACAUUUCAGCUAGGUUGCUGGAAGAUUUUCUUGACCUUGCGAUUGAGAACACCAAAAACAGUUUAGAGACCUGUGGAGUCCUUGGUGCCUGCCUUGAAGAGAGGAACAUUUAUGUGACCAAUUUGAUAGUGCCUAAACAAGAAUCCACACCCAACUCUUGUCAAGCGUUAAAUGAGGAGGAGAUAUUUGCCAUACAAAGUCAACAGUCCCUUGUUCCGAUUGGAUGGAUUCAUACGCAUCCUUCCCAAAGCUGCUUCAUGUCAUCAGUCGAUUUGCACACUCAAUAUUCAUAUCAGGUUAUGGUACCUGAGGCUGUUGGCAUUGUUCUGGCUCCAAAUGACGAGUCAAGGUAAUCUAAGUCCAUCACAGAUUUGCAAACUCGUCCAAAGAACCAUCAACAAUGGAGGUUUUCUGCAGAUUCUUUUCAUGAAUAUGAAUGAAAUAUGGCGUAUUUAGACUGUCUGACCCUGUUGGGAUGAGCAUCCUGAAGGAGUGCAAAGAGAAGGGAUUUCAUUCUCAUGCACAACCAGCUGACGGAAGUUCCAUAUAUGAGAACUGUUCCAAUGUCUAUAUGAAUCCAAAUCUGAGAUUGGAAGUAUGUGAUUUACGAUGAGGCUGCCGUGACAUCUUGCCUUCUUUCGUCAUUCAUUCUAUGUUUCGUGGAGUAUUAAAAUACUCAAAAACAGACUACGGUGCAGGACAGGAUACAUAUGAUCAAACACUAAAAAGAAAAGUGGAUGAAUGCGGAAGAAAGUGGUUACAUUCAGAAGGGCACAUUUCUCUGUGUGGUGUGUCUGUUUAAGAUUCCAGUGAACUUGAUUUGUGUGUAUAUUACAAUGUAGCUGAAGAUUUCAGAAAGUUUCUGAGGAAUGGAACUUUUUAUCGUGGUGUAACAUGUGUUUGUCUUCCCUUGAUACUAGGUUUUUUUUUGGUCUUCCUCCUCGUCACUUGAUUUGAUGUUUCUGGCCUCUUAUGCCGUAGGACCAAGAAUUUGUGCCUCGGUGGUACUGCAGCCAUGAUCUAGUUUUUUCAAUAUAACUCAAAGUUGUAUUAGCAAUUUA